rnacentral:rRNA from 1 species
AUACGGAGGGUGCGAGCGUUGUUCGGAAUUAUUGGGCGUAAAGAGCAUGUAGGCGGUCUGUUAAGUCUGGUGUGAAAGCCCGGGGCUCAACCCCGGAAGUGCAUUGGAUACUGGCAGACUCGAGUAUGGGAGAGGAAAGCGGAAUUCCGAGUGUAGGAGUGAAAUCCGUAGAUAUUCGGAGGAACACCAGUGGCGAAGGCGGCUUUCUGGGCCAAUACUGACGCUGAGAUGCGAAAGCGUGGGGAGCAAACAGGAUUAGAAACCCGGGUAGUCC